GCUGGGGUACAGCUCAGUGGUAGAGCACUUGCCUAGCAUGUGCAAGGCUCUGGGUUCAAUCCCCAGCAUCAGCA
rnacentral:tRNA from 1 species